rnacentral:tmRNA from 1 species
GGGGGUGAAGGGUUUCGACCCAUAUACGCAGGGCAUAAGGCUGCAUGUAGAGGUUGUCAGGAGGCCUCUUUAAACACCUGGCAAAUCAACAAAUGCUGAAAACGUAAACGUUCCAGCAACGGUUGAUGAGUUAUUGGCUACCAUGAAAGUGGUACCCAGUGCUUUUCAGCCGGUAGCGUUACCUCUAUAAGGUAACCCGUCAACCGGCCCGUGCCUGUGAGGCCGGAUUGGCGACCCUAACAGGAUAGUCUUUACCGCUUAGCUUUUAGCGGUGAAGAUGAAGCUCUGAAAAGCUACCCUGCCGGGAUUCCUUCCGUUGAAGCCCGGCGAGGGGAAACCAAAGAUCGGAAAAAACAUGUAGGAGCUUUUGCUUUGAUAUUUGGGGACGCGGGUUCGACUCCCGCCACCUCCACCA